rnacentral:lncRNA from 1 species
GUGCAUCAAUACCAGGAAACUGAUGUUGGACCCACAUAAACAUACAAACCUGUGUGCUCUCAUCACAGCGUGAGUUUGCAUAACCACAGCUACAGCCAAGGUACAGGAAGAGUGCCCCCGUGCCACUCGCUGGUACAGGCAUGUCCCUUCUGCGUUUUACUGCCUACCACGCACAACUGCUGCUGAUCGCUGUUCAGAUUCCAUAAUCCUGGGCAUGAUGACAAAGGAAGGAGACAAUCACUAGUCCUGUACAGCUUCCCACAGCAAUGAGCAGCACUGCAAGAUACCCCAAAAGGUACACAAGUGUCCCUCAUAGAUUUGGUGUUUCCAACGCUGUGUAAUUGGACUUAAGGCCACUCAACAGGAGGGCAAAUCAGGGAUGGUACUAAAAACCCCAUCAACUACCCAGAGCUACUGAGGCCGUGGGUCUUAGAAAAGAAUCUCUUACUAAACUUGCUAGAUUGACAUGAUUCUUUGCUGCGUUUUAAAUUGUAUUUUCAUACCCGCAGACAAGUAUAACUCUUACCCUUCAAAAAAGAAGUCUCUCUUUGACCUUUGAACUCUCAGUCCUAAGUCUUUAUCAAAUCCUUCCCCUCAGGGCUCAGGGAAAGAGAUUAGGGGAGAUUGAAAGAGCCAUAGGGGAUGAAGGACAGCAAGGGAACAGAGUCUUCCAGACACUCUAGGACUGAGGCACGCACGAACUCACAUGUGUGGCACCAUGCACAGGCUACACAGGUCUCAGCCAGAUAAUCCAAGGAGUAGAUACAAUCUCUUCUCCCUGUCCAAGAUGCUAUUGCCAACUGGCAUCUACUUGCAAAGGGAACAUUUGUUUUCUCUAAUGGAGUCUCACCAGGAAUACAAACCACACUUCAGGGUAGGGCCCGUGGCCAGCAAUAGAUGGCCCAACACAAAAUAAAUUCAAUGGUAUUUUUGGAAACUUUACCAUCUCAUAAUGCGUUGUCUAGGAUUUUCCCCCCUUUUCUUCUUUCUUACAGGUCUUUUGCUUAUAUGUUACAAUUUCUGAUAUGAUACAAUUUAUGCUUUGUAGGUUCUGUUUUGUGUCCACCCCUUGUAGUAGUAUUAAUUUAAAACCUUGCUAUGGUUAGAAGUAUUUAGUGAUUUUUCUAUGACCUACAUCUGUGUUUCCUUUACGAUUUACUGUUAAUGUCUUGUUCGCCCUUUGUGGCUUCUCUUAGCAAAAUGUCUGCUGUGAACCAUGAUCAUUCCUCUUGAGACUUUGCUUUUCGAUUAUAGAGUCUUAAGAAUUCUGUGUGUAGGGGGCUGGUGAGAUGGCUCAGUGGGUAAGAGCACCCGACUGCUCUUCCGAAGGUCCAAAGUUCAAAUCCCAGCAACCACAUGGUGGCU